rnacentral:rRNA from 1 species
GGACUACUGGGGUAUCUAAUCCUGUUUGCUCCCCACGCUUUCGCACCUCAGCGUCAGUACCGGACCAGUGAGCCGCCUUCGCCACUGGUGUUCUUCCUAAUAUCUACGAAUUCCACCUCUACACUAGGAGUUCCACUCACCUCUUCCGGACUCAAGAUCGCCAGUAUCGAAGGCAGUUCUGGAGUUGAGCUCCAGGAUUUCACCCCCGACUUAACGAUCCGCCUACGUGCGCUUUACGCCCAGUAAAUCCGAACAACGCUAGCCCCCUUCGUAUUACCGCGGCUGCUGGCAC